rnacentral:rRNA from 1 species
GAUCAAGUUACCAAGGGCGUACGGUGGAUGUCUAGGCGUUGAGAGGCGAUGAAGGACGUGGGAACCUGCGAUAAGCCCAGAGGAGCUGGUAACCGAGCGUUGAUCCUGGGAUUUCCGAAUGGGGCAACCCGGUCCCGCCACUAAAUCGGUUUUGAGCGGUCGAAACACCGGCCAAUGCAUAGACCGAUCUAGUGGCGGGAUCACCUACGCCUGAAUGCAUAGGGCGUGGGGGCGAACCUGGCGAACUGAAACAUCUCAGUAGCCAGAGGAAAAGAAAGCAAACGCGAUUCCGUCGGUAGCGGCGAGCGAAAGCGGAACAGCCCAAACCGUCCCGACUUGUCGGGGCGGGGUUGCGGGCGCCAAUGUGGCACGCUUGAUCAACCUGUGAAUCGUUCAGGAAAGCCGAACCAAAGAAGGUGACAGUCCUGUAGCAGGUGGUGACAGCGGCCUAGGCGUACCAGAGUAGCACGGGGCUCGUGGAACUCUGUGUGAAACUGGGGGGUCCACCCUCCAAGGCUAAAUACUCCUCAACGACCAAUAGCGCACCAGUAAGGCGACUGAAUGAUGAAAAGCACCCCGAUAAGGGGAGUGAAAAGUACCUGAAACCGCAUGCCUACAAGCGGUCGGAGCCCUCGCAUUCUUCGGGAUGUUGGGGUGACGGCGUGCCUUUUGCAUAAUGAGUCGACGAGUUACUCUCUGUGGCAAGGCUAAGUUGUAUCCCAACGGAGCCGAAGGGAAACCGAGUCUUAAACGGGCGUGUAGUCGCAGGGGGUAGACGCGAAACCGAGUGAUCUACCCAUGGGCAGGUUGAAGAGAGGGUAAUGCCUCUUGGAGGACCGAACCCACUAACGUUGAAAAGUUAGGGGAUGACCUGUGGGGAGGAGUGAAAGUCUAAUCAUACUCGGAGAUAUCUCGUUCUCCUCGAAAUAGCUUUAGGGCUAGCCUCACGUUACACCGCACGGGGGUAGAGCGACUGGAUGGGGCUGGGGGGCCACAAGCCUACCCACUUCAACCAAACUCCGAAUACCGUGCGGCUCUGUCGUGGGAGUCAGUCCGCGGGAGAUAAUUUCCGCGGUCAAAAGGGAAACAGCCCAGACCGUCAGUUAAGGCCCCUAAACGGUUCUCAGUUUCUAAGGUAGUCGGAUUGCAGUGACAGCCGGGAUGUUGGCUUAGAAGCAGCCACCAUUUAAAGAGUUCGUAACAGAUCACCGGUCGAGGAAUCCGGCGCCGAUAAUGAUCGGGAAUAAGGAUCGUGCCGAAACUGCGGCUCCGCUACUAAACUUCACGCGCCGCGCGCUGAUCGUGAUAUUGCCGCGAUUGGCGCUCGACGUGAGAAGUUUAGUAGCGGGGGGUAGAGGAGCGUUCCUGUCAGCUGCGAAGCGUCGCCGGAAGGCGUCGUGGAGCGGCAGGAAGUGAAUAUGUCAGCUUGAGUAACGAUAAACGGAGUGAGAAUCUCCGUCGCCGAAAGCCUAAGGUUUCCUGGGGAAGGUAAAUCCGCCCAGGGUUAGGCGGGUCCUAAGGCGAGGCCGAAAGGCGUAGUCGAUGGAUAGCAGGUUAAUAUUCCUGCCCUCCCAUGUGCGGUUGAACCGGCGUGACGGAUCGUGAAGCUUGACGGGACAGUGAAGCGUCCAGGCCCUUGAGGCCGAUGUCGGGUGGAUCGAUUCCAAGAAAAGCCGUCCGGUGACAAACAUGGGACCCGUACCGCAAACUGACACAGGUAGGCUUGGCGAAAAGCCUCAGGCGCUCGAGAGAACGGUUGUGAAGGAACUCGGCAAAUUCACCCCGUACGUUCGCAAUAAGGGGGCCCUCUCCCGCCACUAAAUGGCUCUGAACGGUCGUUGAGAUAACACGAUCGUGCCCGAGCCCUUUAGUGGCGGGAAGGGCGCAGAGAAAAGGCUCUGGCGACUGUUUAUCAAA